rnacentral:ncRNA from 1 species
AACGAAACUUUGCAUCAGUAGGCCUAGUAAACCAGAACAAGCAAAGUAUGGAUUGAUAGACGGCCCAAUUUCUGUAACUUUACCCAGAAAUAUGGGCGUCUUCCGUGCUGCUUGUUCGGGAACUUCGGUUCCUACCCAUACUAGGGGGUACUGAUGCGUGCGGGAGGCGACCAUAUUUUAUUGUUCCCUCCUGCUAUUAGGAUCAUUGCUUUA